rnacentral:rRNA from 1 species
AGAAUCAACGCUGGCGGCGUGCCUAACACAUGCAAGUCGAACGCGAAAGUGGAGCAAUCCAUGAGUAGAGUGGCAAACGGGUGAGUAACGCGUGGGCGACCUACCUCUGAGUGGGGGAUAACGUUCCGAAAGGAGGGCUAAUACCGCAUGACAUCCCGUGUUUGGAUACACGGACAUCAAAGCCGGGGAUCGCAAGACCUGGCGCUUGGAGAGGGGCCCGCGUCCGAUUAGCUAGUUGGUGAGGUAACGGCUCACCAAGGCUUCGAU